CGCUGGCGGCGUGCUUAACACAUGCAAGUCGAGCGAUGAAGCUUCUUCGGAAGUGGAUUAGCGGCGGACGGGUGAGUAACACGUGGGUAACCUACCUCAUAGAGGGGAAUAGCCUUCCGAAAGGAAGAUUAAUACCGCAUAAGAUUGUAAUAUCGCAUGAUAUAGCAAUUAAAGGAGCAAUCCGCUAUGAGAUGGACCCGCGUCGCAUUAGCUAGUUGGUGAGGUAACGGCCCACCAAGGCGACGAUGCGUAGCCGACCUGAGAGGGUGAUCGGCCACAUUGGGACUGAGACACGGCCCAGACUCCUACGGGAGGCAGCAGUGGGGAAUAUUGCACAAUGGGGGAAACCCUGAUGCAAGCAACGCCGCGUGAGUGAUGACGGUCUUCGGAUUGUAAAGCUCUGUCUUCAGGGACGAUAAUGACGGUACCUGAGGAGGAAGCCACGGCUAACUACGUGCCAGCCGCGGC
rnacentral:rRNA from 1 species